UAGACCCCGGAUGAACCUGCCAGUGGGGGAAGUGAAUAGGGCCAUCAAAGCACAGUAAAUGAAAUUUGGUGGAGGGGGGAAGCUCAAAUAAACUCUUAGCAGUGGACCCUUCGGAACACCUCCAAAUUGGAUUUAAGUAAACUCAUGGGGACUGGCAGAAUUGAACAGUGGAGCUGGAGCUAGCUUGCUACUGACUAACGUAGUAUAUAGAAGAAGAAAAAACUUGCUUUUAGCAAGGUAGCUAUCGUUACUCUACUGGGAUCCGAAGAAAACGUAGUUUUUGAGAGAACAGACGUCUAAUUGAAAGGCUUCUACACAAAUCCAGUGGCUUGCUUCAUGAAUUAUGUCUGCAACAAGUAUUGACCCUCAGACUUCAAAAGGACAAGACGCUAAAGUGCAAAAUGGCUCACUCCACCAGAAGGAAACUGUCCAUGAUAAUGACUUUGAGCCCUAUCUCUCUGGCCAAUCCAAUCAGAACAAUAGCUACCAAUCCAUGACUGACCCUUACCUGUCCAGCUACUAUGCCCCCUCCAUUGGAUUUCCCUACCCUCUUAGCGAGGCCCCUUGGUCCACCGGUGGCGACCCCCCUAUCCCUUACCUGACUCCCUAUGCGCCCCUCAGCAAUGGAGACCACCACUUCAUGCAUGACACUGUGUUUGGCCAGCCUGGGGGACUUGGCAGCAGCAUCUACCCGCAUAGGUUUAACUUUUUCCCUGAGAACCCGGCCUUCUCCGCCUGGGGUACCAGUGGGUCUCAAGGCCAGCAGACUCAGAGUUCAGCCUAUGGGGGCAGCUACAGCUACCCUCCCAGCUCCCUGGGGGGCACACUAGUCCCUGAUGGCCAAACAGGGUUCCACAGUGACACUCUGAGCAAGGCACCAGGUAUGAACAGCCUUGAACAAGGGAUGCUGGGGCUGAAGAUGGGUGGGGAUGUGUCUGGCAGUGGCUCAGGUGUGAAGAGCGUGAGUUCUGUGAUCGGCGGCAGUGGUGCUGUAGCUCAGGCUGUUGCUACAGGCAACGGUGGAACACCAAUUGGCAUGCCCCCUCCUAAGCCCACGUCCUGGGCCGCUAUCGCCAGCAAACCAGCCAGGCCACAGCUGCUGAAGGUCAAGGCCAAGCCAGGCAUGCCCAUGGGGGGAGCUCUGCCACCACCGCCCAUCAAACACAACAUGGACAUUGGGACAUGGGAUAACAAGGGGCCUAUAAGCAAAGUGGCCCCUCCGCUGCCCCCCCACCACCACCAUCAGCAGCUCCACUCUCAUAGCCAUGCCCACCUUCCCCAUGGUCUCCCCCCUCCCCCUCAGCAGUCCAUUCAAUCUGCCCAGUCCCUUGUGCAGCAGAUGACCAUGGGCCCGCCCCCUCCACAGUCAUACCAGAACCACAACUUAGGCCCGUCCCCUCAGACCCGCUGGGUUGCCCCGCGCAACCGUAAUCCAGGCUACGGAGGGGGCAGCAUGGACAGCAGCGGUUCCUCUAGUGGCGGGGUGUCGGGAAUGGAGGGGGUGUUCCUCCAGGUUCUGGCUCAGGUCUAGAGAACCACCCUGUUCUGGAGAAGCUGCGGGCUGCCCACAGCUACAACCCUAAGGAGUUUGACUGGAACCUGAAGAACGGCCGCGUGUUUAUCAUCAAGAGCUACUCUGAGGACGACAUCCACCGCUCCAUAAAGUACUCCAUCUGGUGCAGCACAGAGCACGGCAACAAGCGUCUGGACUCAGCCUUUCGUGCCAUCAGUGCCAAAGGCCCUGUCUAUCUGCUGUUCAGCGUUAAUGGCAGUGGGCACUUCUGUGGCGUGGCAGAGAUGCUCUCGCCUGUGGAUUAUGGCACCAGUGCUGGCGUCUGGGCGCAGGACAAGUGGAAAGGCAAGUUUGACGUAGACUGGCUGUUUGUGAAGGACGUGCCCAAUAGCCAGCUGAGGCACAUCAGGCUGGAGAACAAUGACAACAAGCCGGUGACCAACUCCAGGGACACUCAGGAGGUCCCUCUGGAGAAGGCCAAGCAAGUGCUGAAGAUCAUUGUGGGCUUCAAACACACCACCUCCAUCUUUGAUGACUUCUCCCACUAUGAGAAAAGACAAGAGGAAGAGGAGGUUGUCAGAAAGACCUAUGAGCCAAUUCCAAUACAGCGAGGGUCCCGACUUGAUCAGGAACACCAAAACCGAAGUAAACCACAAUAGAAGACUACUCCUUACAGCUUGAUCAACGGUUGUACUUGGAUGGACAUAUUGAAAUUUAGGUCAUAAAAAAACAAGAGGACAUAAAGAAAUUUGUAACUUAUAUUUCUUUUUCUAUUUAAUUUUGAUUACUUUGGCCCACAUCAAACUUUGAGCCACCUUGCUCCUGGUCUGGUUCCCAGUCUCCAAGUUGUGUGCACCAAUCAAAUUGCUCCAUCAUUUUUAGUGUUCUAUAUUCUGUAUUUUAACCCUGGUCUCCUAUUUGUUAUACACGCACAUCCUUAAUUAUGAUUAACAAAUAUCUGCACGUCUUUAAAAAAACAUGCUGCUGAUAUUCAGUGACUGUUCAACUUGUGGUGUGAGUGUUGGAGAAACUUUAAGUGCUUGUAUUGCUUGUUCUGAUUUAGGAAGAGUGAAUGUGACAACAGAAUCUUGACAAAUGUUUGACAACUACAUGGAACAGUUUUAUUUUGCAUAGUCAAAAGAAGUGUUCUGUUUUGCCCUUGUCCAUCUGAGAGUGGUUUGUGGAUGGUAGAGGAUUGUCUAUCCAAAAAGCUUCUGCAAAUGAUUGAUAUUAUGGAUAAAGUGAAAGUUUUUUUUUAUUUUAUGUAAAAAAAUGUAUCACUUGACAAACUAUGUGGAAGAGAUGUUUUCACAAAUUUUUUCAGAGUGGAGCCUUGGCAUUUCUUUCUGACAAGUGUCAAUUAAAUGAUAUUUGCUCUACUGUACCUCAAGUGUGUUAGCAAAAAGAUUCAAAGGAAAGAUGUCUAGAACAUCCGCUCUCAAGGGAGGUCCCUCGCUUUGUUUUUGAUGAGGUGGAAAUGCAAACAUACUCGGUUCAGGUUCUUAGCCAGACAAUACGAUUGUCUUUUCCCUUAUUUUAAAUCAUGUCUUUCCUUUAUCAUAUCUGUUACAUUUCUCUGUUCCCUGUUAUUCCAACAAUGGGGGGUCCCUGUUUAAGUCACUUUGGGGACUAAAUGUAGCAUGUAUUGCUUUUUAAUUCAAGAUUGGCCUGUCAUUUUGUUUCUGCGCCUUGUCAUUUCCAUACGGAAUUAAAAUGUGGAUAUUUUUCUUGCUAUAACCCUUCCACUUCAUCCUCAAAUGUUAAGCUUUAAUGUACUGGCAAAGCUAAUUGAGAACGCCUGAAAUGUGUAUCCUUAUAAUUAAUGUUACUGAUUUAAUGUAAAGUGUAUGAAAACCCAGAGAAUGGUCUUCAUGGUAUCUGUGUGAUUUCUUUAAUUUGGGGGGGGGGGCUUGCUGUACUGUGUAUGUCUGUGUGAAAGACUGAGAGGGAGUGUGAUUAUUGAGUGAGUCAGAUUUAUAUAAUGGUAUAGGAAGUGAUUCAUGAUAAUAUAUGAACAUUUAUGAAAAUAAAUGUAGAAAACAAAUGUUUAAGUCACCCCUGAAUUAAAUAUGCAUUGUAUCAAAGGUCACUAUCACAUUCUUAGAUUUGAUCAUGGUCAUUAUUAAAGGUAUACUAUCUGUUGUAA